rnacentral:lncRNA from 1 species
UAGAGAUCGUAAAGCCAUGGGAUGGGUUGGGUUGGACAGGUCCUUAAAUAUCGUAAAGCCAUGGGAUGAGUUGGGUUGGACGGGUCCUUACAGAUCACAGAACCACAAAAUUGGCUGAGUUGACGGGUCCUUAAAGAACAUAAAGCCAUGGGAUGGGUUGGGUUGGAUAGGUCCUUAAAGAUCAUAAAGCCAUGGGAUGGGUUGUGUUGGAUGGGUCCUUACAGAUCACAGAACCACAGCAUGGUUGGGUUGGAAAGGACCUCACAGUCCUCCCGCUGCAGCCCCACUCCUGCUGUGGGCUGAUUGUCCCCCCACCAGAUCAGGUUGCCCAGAGCCCCAUCUAGCCUGGCCAUUUCCACCAAUAGGAAAGGAGAAGCAGCUGCUCUGCUUGCACCCACCUGGCCAGGGCCGUGCUGGUGGUACUGGUGGAACUGGUGGCACUGGUGGUAGUGGCAAUGGCAGCAGUGGUGGGGGUGGUAUUGGUGGGGGUGAUACUGGUGGUGAUGGUGUUGGUGGUUGGAUACGAGGAGCAAUUUCUUCUCCAAAGAGUGGUUGGGCACUGGCAUGGGUGGAGUCACCGUCCUUCAGGUGUCCCGUAACUGUGGAGAUGCAGCACUUGGGGACACGAGUAAAGACCGCGACAGGAAGACGGCGAUCCGGAGCUAGGCGCUCCCGGGGAAGGACGGCACGGAGGAGCGGAAGGACGGACGGACGGACGGAUGGAAAAGCCACACACACCGAACCACGGACACACUCCCGUCUUCACCCCGCUGCCAGGGACAGGACCCUGCCCCUAUGGGGCCGUGGGGCUGGGCUGUGGGGACGCCCCCCGCUGGGGACUGAGCCAAGCUGGGGACGCUGCCGCCGGGACCGACCGCUGCCGUGCUGUUCCCCUCCAGCUUUGAGCCACGCCAUCCCCUGAACUGAGGCCCGGGGUGCUGCAUUUGUUGAGUUUAAUCAAUACAUGCUGGUGUUUCAUGUCAUUGAUACGAUAAUAUAAAGCCUGAGCAGCUCGUAUAAUUAAAAAUGAGUACGGUUCAGAGACGAGGCAGAAGCUUCCUUCCUUCCUUCCUUCCUUCCAGCCCAACGCAGCCCCCGU